GAGAGGAAGGUCCCCCACACUGGUACUGAGACACGGACCAGACUCCUACGGGAGGCAGCAGUGAGGAAUAUUGGUCAAUGGCCGGGAGGCUGAACCAGCCAAGUCGCGUGAGGGAAGACGGCCCUACGGGUUGUAAACCUCUUUUGUCAGGGAGCAAGAGGCGGGUCGAGACCUGCUGUGAGAGUACCUGAAGAAAAAGCAUCGGCUAACUCCGUGCCAGCAGCCGCGGUAAUACGGAGGAUGCGAGCGUUAUCCGGAUUUAUUGGGUUUAAAGGGUGCGCAGGCGGAGGCACAAGUCAGCGGUAAAAUCGCGGGGCUCAACCCCGCUCCGCCGUUGAAACUGUGUCCCUUGAGUGCGCGAAGGGUAGGCGGAAUGCGUGGUGUAGCGGUGAAAUGCAUAGAUAUCACGCAGAACUCCGAUCGCGAAGGCAGCCUACCGGCGCGCAACUGACGCUCAUGCACGAAAGCGUGGGUAUCGAACAGGAUUAGAUACCCUGGUAGUCCACGCAGUAAACGAUGAAUGCUAUCUGUCCGGCCGGAAUGACGGCUGG
rnacentral:rRNA from 1 species